AUCAGUAUGGCAGAAUAGUGCAAUGAAUUUAAGAUUCAUAUAUAAAUAAAAUUUUACUGGAA
rnacentral:tRNA from 1 species